rnacentral:rRNA from 2 species
GAAGCAACGAGAAAGAACCUUACCAGGUCUUGACAUCCUCUGACAACUUUAGAGAGAGAGCGUUCCCUUUCGGGGGACAGAGUGACAGGUGGUGCAUGGUUGUCGUCAGCUCGUGUCGUGAGAUGUUGGGUUAAGUCCCGCAACGAGCGCAACCCUUGAUCUUAGUUGCCAGCAUUUAGUUGGGCACUCUAAGGUGACUGCCGGUGACAAACCGGAGGAAGGUGGGGAUGACGUCAAAUCAUCAUGCCCCUUAUGACCUGGGCUACACACGUGCUACAAUGGAUGGUACAAAGGGCUGCAAGACCGCGAGGUCAAGCCAAUCCCAUAAAACCAUUCUCAGUUCGGAUUGUAGGCUGCAACUCGCCUACAUGAAGCUGGAAUCGCUAGUAAUCGCGGAUCAGCAUGCCGCGGUGAAUACGUUCCCGGGCCUUGUACACACCGCCCGUCACACCACGAGAGUUUGUAUCUCCCGAAGUCGGUGGAGUAACCGUAAGGACCUAGCCGCCCUAGAUGGGU